AACAAACGCUGGCGGCGUGCAUAACACAUGCAAGUCUUACGGGAAAGUCGGCUUCGGCUGGCGAGUACCGUGGCGAACGGGUGAGUAACACGUGGGUAAUCUGACCUCGAGUUUGGGAUAACCUUGCGAAAGCGGGGCUAAUACCGAAUAAGACCACGCUCUGUCCGCAGAGUGCGGUAAAAGGCGGCCUCUUCAUGAAAGCUGUCACUAUAAGAUGGACCCGCGGCGCAUUAGCUAGUUGGUGAGGUAACGGCUCACCAAGGCAACGAUGCGUAGCCGACCUGAGAGGGUGAUCGGCCACACUGGGACUGAGACACGGCCCAGACUCCUACGGGAGGCAGCAGUAGGGAAUCUUCCACAAUGGACGAAAGUCUGAUGGAGCAACGCCGCGUGAGUGAAGAAGGAUUUCGGUUCGUAAAACUCUGUCGCAAGGGAAGAACAAGUAGCGUAGUAACUGGCGCUACCUUGACGGUACCUUGUUAGAAAGCCACGGCUAACUACGUGCCAGCAGCCGCCGCCGUAA
rnacentral:rRNA from 1 species